AGUGAACGCUGGCGGUAGGCCUAACACAUGCCAGUCGAACGGCAGCACAGUAAGAGCUUGCUCUUACGGGUGGCGAGUGGCGGACGGGUGAGGAAUACAUCGGCAUCUACUUUUUCGUGGGGGAUAACGUAGGGAAACUUACGCUAAUACCGCAUACGACCUACGGGUGAAAGCAGGGGAUCUUCGGACCUUGCGCGAUUGAAUGAGCCGAUGUCGGAUUAGCUAGUUGGCGGGGUAAAGGCCCACCAAGGCGACGAUCCGUAGCUGGUCUGAGAGGAUGGUCGGCCACACUGGAACUGAGACACGGUCCAGACUCCUACGGGAGGCAGCAGUGGGGAAUAUUGGACAAUGGGCGAAAGCCUGACGCAGCCAUACCGCGUGGGUGAAGAAGGUCUUCGGGUUGUAAAGCCCUUUUGUUGGGAAAGAAAAGCAGCAGGUUAAAACCCCGCUGUUCUGACGGUACCCAAAGAAUAAGCACCGGCUAACUUCGUG
rnacentral:rRNA from 1 species